AGCUUGCUCAUGGGUUUUGUGGAGGGCGUAGAUUGGAACCAAAAAGCACGCCUCGGCUUGGUGCUCCCUGUCGCCCUCUGUUGACAUGGGGAGAGAAGAGCGGGUCUGACUCGGAAAUGACGCCAUAAUGCUGAGGAACCACUCCUGGCGUUGCGGAAGGUGGGGUGUGGGGCCGGAAGACCCUCCCCCCGCGUCUUCAGAGGAGCGCUGUUUCUGGAGGAGUUAGGGGAAGGAGGCUGCCUGACUAUAUCAGCCACGGAUAGGAUAUGUGAGAAUACCAGCAUGUCAAGGCUGGGAAUCAUCCUUAGGCAUCACCUAGCCAGUCCUGCCUCUCAUUUUAAGAUGCAGAGUGUUCAUAUGAGGAGAGACUUUCCCUUGUCUCCGUCAUCUGUGAUUUCACUUCCCUGACAGAAGACGAAGCUUCCAUCUCAGAUGUUUUCUUAAAUGAUGAAACAGCAUACGCCUCUGUUCUUGUCAGCUCAGGGAAAACAGAUCUGGGGACCUCUUCAUCUCUGCGUUGGGAAGCAUAGGUGGUAUAAUCCCCUCCUGUCACGUCCAACGUUGCAUAGUCAGAAGCUUCGCCCUUGUAGUUGGUGCACACAGCACG
rnacentral:lncRNA from 1 species